rnacentral:rRNA from 1 species
GACGAACGCUGGCGGCGUGCUUAACACAUGCAAGUCGAGCGGUAAGGCCCUUUCGGGGGUACACGAGCGGCGAACGGGUGAGUAACACGUGGGUGACCUGCCCUUAGCUCUGGGAUAAGCCUGGGAAACUGGGUCUAAUACCGGAUAUGACUCCAUGACGCAUGUUGUGGGGUGGAAAGCCUUGUGCGGCUAGGGAUGGGCCCGCGGCCUAUCAGCUUGUUGGUGGGGUGAUGGCCUACCAAGGCGACGACGGGUAGCCGGCCUGAGAGGGCGACCGGCCACACUGGGACUGAGACACGGCCCAGACUCCUACGGGAGGCAGCAGUGGGGGAAUCUUGCGCAAUGGGCGAAAGCCUGACGCAGCGACGCCGCGUGAGGGAUGACGGCCUCGG